rnacentral:rRNA from 1 species
UACGAGGGGGGGCAAGCGUUGUUCGGAAUUAUUGGGCGUAAAGGGCGCGUAGGCGGUUUGACAAGUCUGAUGUGAAAUCUAUGGGCUCAACUCAUAGUCUGCAUUAGAAACUGUCGGGCUUGAGUAUGGGAGAGGUGAGUGGAAUUUCCGGUGUAGCGGUGAAAUGCGUAGAUAUCGGAAGGAACACCUGUGGCGAAAGCGGCUCACUGGACCAUAACUGACGCUGAGGCGCGAAGGCCAGGGGGAGCAAACGGG